rnacentral:snoRNA from 1 species
UAGCAGGAUUUAACUAUACAAUAGCUGUUAAGUGCUAUGUUGUCAUUCCCCCUGCUCAAAACAAUGCUGUUUCUUUUUUUAUUAUUUUAUAAAUAAUAAAAGACCUCAAAAAA